UGUAUUCGUGGAAGGACAGGAAACAAUGAAAAAUUGGUCACAGAAAGACAAGCAAAAAUGUAGCCAAAUGAAAUGAAUUGCCGCUACAGAAAGUUAUUUUGUCGGUAAGCUACCUUUCUAAGUUCUCACGAAGCUGAGAAACAAGUACACCAGAAUUUUCAAUCUUUUUUACCAAGUCAUCAUUUCUUUUUAGGAGGUCUUCAUUUCUCCUUAUUAGAUCAUCAUUUCUUCCAUGAGCCUCAGUACGUGCACUUUUUAUACCAUUGCCUUCUUGUUUCUCCAUUACAAAGUUAGACAAUCUUGAUAUGGCAUCUACUUGAAGCCUAAUUCGUAAAGACAUUAGUCACCAAAAGGAUGAUAUAAUGAUCAGUAAUUUGAUGGCACAGUAGUUGACAAUUAGAGAAAAGUAAAUUAAGAUACCAACUUCUGCACAGUAUCUUGAAGCUGGUGGGCCCUGUAUUCGCUAUCCCUAACUUUCUUAAAUAACACCUCAUUUCUCUCCUGAGCUUCAACAAGGGACCUCCUGAUUGCUUCAUUUUCUUGUCUUUCAGCUUCCAAAGAAGCUGUCAUAUCCUCCUUAACCCUGUUUUGGGAUAAAAACAACAGUUGCAACUUCACAAUGCAGAUUAGUAAUAAUGGAAAACAUGAAGAACUAUUAGAGUUAAGCAUACAAAUGAGGAAAUGAAUAAAACCUAGGUUUUGUGUGAUGCAUGCUGCAUAUCCCUAGUUGAUGAAAAGUCUUAAUCUAUCUCAGAUACUCACAAAUGCACUUCUAUGUUUAUUUUCUGCUGUUAUCAUUCUUUCAACUUUGAUAGGCUUGCAACACUGAAAGAUAAUCUGCAUGCAUGUGGCACAUAUCUGCCAUCAAUGUCUCGCUCUCUCUGCAUAUAUAUCUUUCCAGAACAUGUGAUCUUGAUUCAUUUUAGUGUUAUGCAAAAAAGGUAGUGGGACAUAAGAGUGUAUGAUCCUGACAAUAUGUCAUACUACAUUUAGUAUAGAAAGACAUCUAGGUGCUAUAUUAACAGCAUGUGAGGAUAAAAAAGUCUGGUUUUUAGUAUGGAACCACAUGCCUUGUACCACUGAUCUUGAGACAUGGGAAGAAAUUCCAAAAAAAAAAACAAUGAAUUUUUUUUUGAAGGGGGGGGGGGGUUCACAUGCUGACAAGGGAGAACUAUAGGAGCGUACUUGUAAUAUAAUAUACAUAAAGCUUUAUUGAAGGUACAUACGAAUUUAUAGUGUUUUGAAGAUGCUCAGCUUUUUUGUUGGCUUCUUCUGCUUUCAUCAGUAACUCUUCAUUUUUGUAUUCACUCUCAGUGAGUGCUUUCUUCAGUGCAUCCUUCUCAUGUCUCUCAGAUAUCAGCAAAGUGUCUUUCGCUGUAUUAUCACCAAGCCUGAAAUUGAUCACCAGUUAUUAUGUCAAGUACAUCUACAUUUACGUAAGCACACUCACUAACUAUAUGUAAGCAUUCCCAGAGCCAAGCACAGCUUAAUAAAAACAAUAGAUGUAUAAAGUACCUUUGUAUGCUGCCUUGAAGAAGACCAAUUUUUUUGUCAACGUCCUCAAGCUUCUUUAGUAACUGCAAAAUUCUUUCUUGACUUUCAGCUUGUGCCUUCAUGGUUGCACUGUUUUGUUCUCGUUCUCUCAACAGUAAAACCUCUGUAGCAGAUGCGUUUUCCUGAAGCCUAGUCUCAGGUAGAAAUAUGGAGUUGAUUCAAAAGUUAAAACAGAUAAUCUUCUGAUAGAAUUUAUGCCCCUAGAGGUUGUUAAGCAGACAAUAAGGAACGAUUAUGGACCUCUCAACAGUUAGCUGAAGCUGAAGAGUAUUUUUAUCAUAAUCCUGAAUUUUCUUGAUUAAUUCUUCAUUUCUACACUGAGUUUCGGUCAGAACUUUCUUGGUCGUCUCAUGUGCUUGUUUCUCUGAUAACAAAAGUGCAUCUCUGGAAGUAGCAUCCGCUUCAGACCUUUAAAAAUCACAGUGAAAGGUCACUAUCACAGUGUAAUGAUGAUACUGAGCAAGAAGUUGGGACACAUACUCAAGAGAAAGCAUCAGACCUCUUGAUGGUAUCUUCCAAUUGUUUUCUGGUUUCUUGGGACUGUUGUGACUCGUGUACUAAUUCAUUGAUCUUUUUCUGGGCGUUGGCUAUUUCUUCUUUAGUCGUUUUGUUUUCUUGUCUUUCUACUUCCAACAAAGAGUCUUUCUCCGCUGUGCGUUCUUCUAGUCUAUGUGCAAAAAGAAAAGAAAAUCCUCAAGAAACAGGCAGAUCAGAAAUGCUUGUAACAAAAGGAAUCUAACCUGUUAACUGAAUCCUCAAGCAUAUUGAUUUUUUUAGCUGAAUCCUCGAAACUUGUCAUCAAGUCUCGGUUUCUCCCUUGAGCUUCAGUUAGCGCUUUUACUGUACAGUCGAGAUUUUGUUUUGUCUUAAGCAGCAAAGAUUCCCUUGCCGUUGCAUGUUUCUCAAGUCUAAAAUCAUUAAGGAAGAGGAAGUAUGUGUUAGCUCAUAAAGUUGAAGUACAGGAUUAGCUCUCUUAAGUUGCACAUAUUGCAUUAUGCUUGAGUAAAGAAAGCUCAGCUCUACAACUAGUGACAAGAUAAGAACCUUUGAGCGUUCUCCAGCAUCUUGUUUAUAGUUUUUUCACUAUCAUCAACUUUCCUUAGCAAUUCCCAAUUUCUUUCCUGAGCUUUCAAAAGUGCUUGCUUGGUUUGAUCAUGCUCUUGCCUUUCUGCUACAUACAGGGCAUCCCUUGUGGUUGCAUUUUCCUCACACCUGUAUUCAGUGAGUGAGAAUUCUUAACGCUGCCAGCUCGUUAUAUUGAGGACUGGAAUAGAAAGGCAGAAGCAGCAUUGCUAAAGACGUCCAAAACGUACACAACAUCACCUGCACCUAUGAUCAAUCCUCUAUACGACACAUCAUUGCUAUGACAUAUAAUAUACUUUUUAAUCCUUUACUUUCAAAUAUUUCCAAAGAGGUAUUGAUAAAUGCAGCUGUGGAACUCCCUUUGUUGUUUCAUGUAACUACGACUCGCAUCGAGAUCUUAAGCACCUUGCUAAAACAUGCUUAUUAAUUUUCUUGUUGCACCAUUCAUGCUUGCAUGUUUUUUAUGCAAUUUGAGUAUAUGAACAACUAGAACGUCAAUUAUUCAUAUUCCUUUCAAACAAAAGAAAAAGAAUUCAUAGCACCAUUUGUCCUUUUCAAAGAAUGUAACAUUAGAAAUCAACCUUUUCAAAGAAUCUUGAAGCAGAUCAUUUGUCCUACGGGCAUCUGCAAAUUUCUUCUGCAGUACUUCAAUACCCUGUUGUGCUUCAGUUAAUUGUGAAAAGGUUGCAGUACUUUGUUGUUUUUCAGCUAACAAUGAAGUCUCCAAUGUUGUCACAGUUUCUUCAAGUCUAUGUUAAUUGAAAAGAAAAUUCAGCAUUGUUGAUUCAAGAUUAUUAUAGUAUAAUAAUAGUUAACAAAAUUUGGAAGGAGCUUAUAACUGAAGUCAAGCACGAAUCAAAUCACGGAAAGGAAAAUGCAAUUACCUUUGGAUGUUGUCUUGGAAGUUACUAAUGUCUUGUUCAGCUACUUCAAUUUUAUUGAGAAGUUCCUCAAUUUUUACAUGAGCUUCAUUGAGUGAUUGUUUGGUCGCUUCACUUUCUUGUCUUUCUGUAAGUAAAGUAGCCUCUCCCUCAAUUAAGCUUUCUUGCAGCCUGUGUCCACGAAGAAGAAAAGAUAAUGAAGUUUAAGUCAACCAAAUAGUCCUACUUUUCUAUGUGGUUGCCAAGAAUCACACAGAUAAUAUUACUGAAAAUUUUUGGAAGGGUUAUAUGAGGUGUAGGACUGCUUGGAAAACAGCUAAUGUGCCUGAAUUGAUAAGUAGUUCCUGUUGGGUUUCAACUUUACCUACCCCAACUUGCUUGGGACUGAAAGGCUUUGAUGUUGUUUUUAUUGGUUAUAUGAGGUGUAGGACAAAUCUUAUGUUUUUUUUACUAAAUAAAAUGACCUUUGCACAACAGUCUGAAGCUCUGUGGAUUUUUCUUUGGCAUCUGAGAUUUGUCUCAGUAGUUCUUCAUCCCUCUGGUGCGCUUCACUUAGUUCCCUUCUAGUUGUCGUGUUUUGUUCCUUUUCCAUCAUCAAUGAAGACUCCAGUUCUGUCACAUUCUUUUCAAAUCUGCAUUCAACAGACAGGAAGAUUUCUGUACUUCCAAAAUAGUAAGGAUGGGACUCGAUUUACUUGAUUAUGGUUAAGUAUAUGGUAAAGUACCAGCGAGCUUUACAGUACGACAAAUGGAACUAAAAUAAAGGUUUGAGUUGGUUGUAUUAGUGGGCCUUUGCAAGUUAACAAAAAAAAACAAUCCUUAAUCUUUAAUUCUCUAUUACAUCUUCAUCUGCAUCUUGAGCUUCAGUGAGUAAUGGGAAGUAAAGCAUCAUAUACAUUGGCAUUCUUUAGAUCCAUUAGGCUUUGACAAAAUGGGAUAUUAUGACCUCAGCAAAGAAAAAAAUUAGUAUUGAGAUCUGCCUGAUCUUGCUCUAUCACAACGAUAACCAGGACAAUGGCAUGCAUUCACACAGUUUCCUGAAGCAGACAAAUUAGUUUACCAGAGUGUAUUUGAUUUCCUUGCUAGUACUUUGUUUCACUCUUGAGUACUUUAUUUCACUUUUGAGAUUCAGUUAGUGCGAUCUUAUAUUCUUAUUUGCUUCAUAUUAAUAUUUUUCACCUGGAAACCAUACAUACAUUUACUUCUAAUCUGAAUCAACAUAGCCAAAGAGCUUGGAUAGUUUGGUAUGUUCUACUGCAGUACUGCUAGUCUGAAACUGCAGUUACUAGUGUCAAACAGACAAUUCAAUGAACCAACAGAUCUAGAGUGUCCAACUGUUAUCUUAGUAUCAUAAUGUGGUUUAGCAAUGCUAAAUCAGAUCCUGGCAGCAUACACUGUCAGCAUUUAAGUAUGCGUGACUGCAUCAGCAUCCAUGUCUGAUACAUGUGCUCGUAGAGGUUUCUGUGUCUGUCAGAGCUGUGCAUAAAAGUAGCAGUGUUAAGGGAUAUGUUCUGUUGUAGUGAAAGGCUUAGAAAUUAUGUGGUGCUAUCCUGAAAGUAAUACUAGUUUUUAGUAUUGGCUCCUUACAGAAAUUAAGGUCUAAAGUCACUGAGCUACUAACCUUUUUACAGCAUCUCUAAGCUGCUCAAUGUUUUCGUCCGCGGACACAAUUUUUGUAGUCAGUGCAUCAUUUUCUUCCCGAGCAAUAACAAGUGCACUCUUAGUUGCACUGUUUUCUUCUUGUUCUCUUUGUAGUAGUACCUGUCAACAGCCAUCCAUUAAAAAAAUAUCAUGCUACAGAUAAAUAAGUUACUGCUACCAUCAGACUCUAAUCAAAUAUGGGAUAUGUUUUGUAAUCAGCUGUUCUUUUACUGUUUAACAUGAAACAGAUGCUGUAACUGUGUUUUGUUUAUUAGAAUAACUAUUGCAAUGCUUAAAUCCUUGCAAAUAUCUACACAGUUUGGAUAAUUACUAUGUUGAUUUAGGAAAAGAGUACCUUCAGCUCCUCCACUUCGUUAGUCAAUGAAGUGAUCUUUUCUCUUUCUUGAGUUAAAGCUUCUUCAAUGGCCCUUUUGCCUAAUUCUCUUUCCUGUAUCUUUGUGGCUUCUUCCACCCGCUGCUCCAUCUCACGAAGAGCAGCCUGUAGUUUGGAAAUUUCUCCUGCUUUGUUCUUCUCUAGAUCAAUCUGAAAAGUGAUACUGUAUAAGCAUAAAUUCACCAGUUAAUUCAUCCCACGUUAUCUUAAUUCAAGAGCAGCAUCUACCCUAAGUUUCUUUUCCAAGCCCAAACAGCUAGUCAGCUCUACAACAUGCUCCUCAAGUUUCUCCUUCUCCACCUUCAGGGCUUCUGUGUCCCUUGCAGCCUACAAAAUGUACCAAAAAAAAAUAAAAGGGUGUGUAAGUGAAAUAUAGAAUCAACAUGAUUAAAACAAAGACCCAAUUGCUUCAGUACCAUUUUGAGCUUUCGGAGUUCUCCUCUAGCAACCCGUCUUCUCCAUGCACACUGAUAAAUUAACACUGAUCUCUUCAUUUUACAAUAGUUCGAAUAAUCUCUAUGGCAUCGCCACUGAGCCUGCAAGCAACCAUUCUCAGAGUGACAGUUCAGAGAUGAAACAUGUAAGAUAUGAAAGUUGAGAUUUGUAACCAGCCUUCCAUUUAGAUAAAAUAAAAGAAUGAAUCUGUGGUUUACCUGGAUACGAAUAGUGGCUUUAUUUUGUUUUCUGAGAAUGUAUUCUUUAUAAGCACCAAACGCCCUUAGUCCUGUCUGCAACGUAAUGGCUGAAGAGCGUAGCUUAGAAUAAGAGUUCCAAGCAAGAUAGCAGCGGUAACUUUUCUGUAGAUGCAACGCUGCAGCUUGUUUUCUCAGGAAAACACGUAACUUACAAGCCAAUAUUACUGCAAUUGAUAAGGUACUCUCAGAUAUGAUGCAACCUGAGCUAUAAGCAUUGUUUCCACUUGCAAAUACCAAUUAACAACACCUUACCUCUAACAAAAGAUUGAAAAGAUAGUGAUGUCUUGCGUAGUACAAGGAAUUGCUCACGAGCAACAUGAGUGCGAAAUCUACUCUGAACAACUCUAGCUGCUUUAUUCCGCACUUCAGUUCUUCUAGCAUCUAAUUCAGCCAUCUGACCAGCUCUCAGGAAAACCUUUGUUCUUCCAAUCUGUCAUGGACACCGAUAAUUUAAAAUAUCGCGAGAAAAUUUUGUUAUCUCUUUAUAUGCUACAAGCAGGCAUUUCUGCCAUGCAAUUUAUAAAAGAACACACCACGAGGGGAAGUUACGUAUUCCAUAUUGUGAUUGUUGGCAAAAAAAAUGAAAAUCAACAAAAGACUAAAAGCAACUGAUGGAGUAGUUAAAAGUUAGCAGCUGAAUUUUCAGUGGUGUGAACCAAAAUUUUUUGAUGGUAUAAAUCAAUUUUUUGGGGGGGGGGGAAAGAACAAUCAUAAAAAAAUAUGGACUAAUGCCAUUCGCGUGAAUCAUUUUGUUCACUUCUUUAUUAUUUACCACUUCAUAGGCUGUAGUUACUCGACAAGAACAAGCAUUGUGUUUUUACUUUAGUGACUUGUUUUGGAUUAUUUAGAGAUGAAAAGAAUGCAAUAAGCAUAUAACACACAUAAAAGGAGGAUUAGUUAUAGUUUUCUUCACCUGAUAACCCUGGAGACCUAUUUUGUCCAAAAUCUUUUGGCAGGUCACCUUUUCAUUGUUUCUAUCAGAUAUAAGAGAAGAGUUAUAAAAGCAGGACAGAACUGGCAAUAUUAGUAGAUCACGAAAAAAAUAUUUUUGUUAUCAACUUGUUAAGUAUAUCUAGGCCCAUAUACUCUAGGCCCAUGUGGCCCAUGUGCUCUAUAUACACACACACACACAUCAAGCCUGUGAGAUCAGAACUGCAAGUAGCAGAUUUUUUACUAAAGCACAAACUCGAGAACAACAUUGGCUUUCCAAGGUUAGUAACAAAACUGAGUGCUCACCUUUCCAUGAAAACUUCAGGAGCAAGAAUGCGAAACCGACAGAGAAAAUCAUGAAAUAUUUUUCUUGUAGGAUAUCCAGCACAGCUGAUUCUAAUAGCUUCAAGAACACCCUGAAAUGCCAACAAACAAUUAGAGUAGAGUAAACAAUGGCUGAGUUUCUAUGGAAACUUUGCCAUGAAGAGUGAUCUGUUGCUUACUGAACACCGAAGUUGCUGCAGUACAUUGAUGUUCUCAAAAGUAGUAGGCUUAAGAUUGUUAUUGGGCUUAAUACAUCUAAUGUAAUGAGGCUCCGUAGAACUCAACGUCUCCAUCAGUUCUUGGAGUUGCCACUGAGAGUUACAUGGAAGUACCAGAUAUGAAGUUUACAUGAAACAUAGCUCGAUGGUGAACACAAACUUAUAUAUAUUCUCUUCCCUUUCUCUAUCAAGUAAUAUGCAUUUAUUUUCUAGAUAUGCCAUUUCAAAUAUAGUAACAUUUAUGUAACGCCCCACAUCCAAAAUCUGCCUAUAGCUCAGCUCACCUAUGAAGCUCUUACAUCCAAAAUCUGCAUGUCACCUCUUACACCUUUGUGUUCACUUGGUGUAAAAAGGUAAUUCGGAGGUGCUAUGUCUGAACACAAAGGAUUGGCCCUCACCUACCCAAUAUCUCCCUCCAUCAACCCGCCUCCCUUUCUAACACAGUAACACAUGAAAAGUUUGCACAUGGGACUAAUCUGACCAUGACAAGGCAACUACUAAUGGGCUGCGGGAUUGUAUUUUCAUUAUGUGCAAACUUUUUCUUGUCUUAUCUUGUUUGUUUGUUUAAUUGGAAAAUCAAAUGAUGAUGUUUUUAAACUCUAUAUCUGGACAUAAACCCGAAAACAAGAUAUGUACAAGACAGUCAUAAUUCUUUUAUUCUACUGUUGUGUUGUACAGAAAGUUUGUUGUCUUAAAUAUGCAGAAGGAUAUUAACCUCGUAAACACAUUUUGGUAAAAGCAAACACCAAAAGAACCAUCAUCAAUAGAAAAAAAUCUGAAGUAUGUACCCUAAAUUCUAGAGUUGGGGCCAAAUGUAUCUCUGAGAAAUUUAAUUCUCGAAAGAGAACCAAAGCCAAACUUCAGGUGAAAAAAUGGGACUUCUGUAAAUAAUUUUUCUCCAACCAACUUUGGAAAGGAUUUGAAGGCAUAAUAAGUCAAGUAGGAGAAUCAUACCUUGAAGCGAGUAGCAAUGGAAGACUUUGAUGCUUUUGUGUUCUCCUCUAGUACUGAUGGGAAUAACCCUGACACAAAUGAACACUUGGAAGCAUUAAGUAACUCUUGAUGUUCUACAACUACAUAGUCUCUGUUUUUGUCCAGGAAAUGGUCAGACUGAUAAGUUACCUGGGAAAAAACAUGAAAUUAAAACGAAUGUACUCAACAAAAUGUACUGAAAAGAAAGCUAUAUCAUGAAGAAUGCUUACUUCUCCCGCAUAAUGUUGUAUGUUAAAUGCAGUGCGAGAAAGCUUUGGUUUGCUAAAUCUUUUGUUAUUCCUGAAUUUCUCAUACAGCUUCUGAGAAAAUGAUUCAUGUGUGCAUUUAGGAAACAUACUGGUGCACAAAAAUAAACCAAAAACAAAAGAAUCUCCAUUAGAAGAAUUGAUUUGGAAAUAGAAAUGAACAGUGCUCUUUAUAGAAUGAAAGGAACCAUUUAGACCAGUCUCAGUGGAGGUUUCAUCAAAAGUUUCAUGACCAUUAAAUAACAUGCCACAUCAGCAAUUUUGCUGACAUGGCAAGAUCAUUAUGAGAGGAGAGGAGAGGGAGUUUCAUCACCAUGAAAUCCAGCAGUCACAGUUAUCUAGUUCUCAGCCUUGGUAAAUGUGCCAUGAAACUGUGCACUGAGACUGACCUUAGAACUACCUUUUAUAUUAAAUGCAAUACAAGAAGUUCAGACUCACCAAGCUUCAUCAAGAAGUGCAAUAAUGCCACCAGGUUUCUGAAAAUAAAGAGGGAAGAAAACAUGAAAGGGUUUAGGUAAAAAUAUAACGAUAAUACACGUUUACAUUAGCCCCUAGCACUGCCAACAGGGGUGAAGCCAGCUGACAUGGACGCUGGGGUCAGCUUCAUUAACACGGUGGGGUCAGCUUAGAGAUUAACGUUGUUUUGUUAAGGAUUUGUAGGAUUUUAUCUGGGUCAGCUGACCCCGAUAAAAGAGCCUGAGUAAAUUUUACUAUGGGUCCAUAAGCUUUUCCUGAAGUUCCAUCUAAGUCCAUGAACUAAAAAAGCGGUCAUCUAAGUCCACAAUCUAUUAAAGAGUGGUUGUGGACGUCCACGAGCGUCCACGUAAGCACAUUUUGCCAGCGUGGUAAAAAAUUGCAAAAGAUGGCCUGCGUCUCUCAUUUUCUCACUCUCUCAUCCUUGUCCUCAUCGCCGAGCUCGCCCCCGUCCCUGCCUCUGCCUGCAUAGCGGCACCACCAGCAGCACGGCCACGCUGCCGCGGAAGGGAGUGCCAGGGGGUUGUGGCCACAGCCCACCAGCCCUCCCCCUCGUCAAGUCAAGUCAAUAAAGGUCACGACUACAAGGGAUAAAAAUAACAGCCUACUCACUGACAUUGCACUUCGUGGAUGUUUUAUGAGAAAAGGAGAGGCAGAUAUCAGCACUGUAUUCGCAAACAGCAAAAUAGCUCAUCCACAGGUCAAAAAAUACUGGAGUAGUGACUGAUGAUAUUUUUUUCUUAAAACUGUUUUGGAUGCAUUUGAGGGAAGGCCUAUUCUCAUAAGUUCAGGUGGUCCACAGCAGUGCAACAGCACCACCACAUUCUCCACAGUGCCCACAACUACAGCGACAUAGGGAUAAGCAGAUAUCUCCUCAAUUAGAUGUUUUGCCUCAAGUUAAAACAUAGGAUUCAGUUAGUUAGCUAUAAUUUUAAGCAAGGAUUAGACCUUAAAGGUACAUCUAAUAGGCAGGUCAGAGCCUCCUGCUUGGCUGGAAUCACAGUUGAGACACCUUCAUCUAACCUUAUCCCCUACCCAACUCAACAUACCAUAUCAAAACCAAGUAAUGUCAUGGUGAUAAUGACCAUUAUAGGACUGGAAGAUGCAAGGCUAAGCUGCUUAAAUUAAAACUAAAAAAAUAACAACACACCUUCUCAAUCAAGUCCAGAACAUCUUGGUUGUCAACAAAUUCUAUGUAGCUCCAGUCGAUCUGCUCCCUGUUAUACUCUUCCUGCUCCAUUUUAAAGACAUUCUGCCAAGAAAAUACUAACUCUUUUACCAACCCAUAGAAGCAAAGAGAAGUAUAAUAUUGUGAACAUCCAAACAUUUGUUCCACAAGUACCUGAUUAAAAUGCUGUUGGAGUUUUUCGUUGGUGAAAUUGAUGCAUAAUUGCUCAAAGCUAAUUCCAUAUUAUGAUAAAGACAGGAGACAUCCAUGAAUGGUCUUCAAUUGUAAAUUGAAAUCAUACUUAAGUUAAUAAUUUACCUAUUAGUCUUAAAACUUUCAAAACCAUAGAUAUCAAGUACUCCAAUCAAUCGGUCAGAGGAUGUAUCUUGUCCUAUGGAUGCAUUUAGUCUGUUUACAAGCCUGUGCAUGGUACAAGCACACACGCUUACAAGGGUGCAUUGUGUACAUGAUUUAGGAAUGAAGUACACAGUCGUAUUCACUACCAGUCAAAUAAUCGAGAAUAUAUCUGCUUUGCUAAGCCAUCCCUGCUAACAGUAGCAGAAUUAGGAUCAACUGUUGUGGUUAUAACUCCUUCUGGUGUAUUUAUUUUCCUCUUUAUCAGCACAUUCUCCAGGUUCCCGCCAUCACACCUGUAAUCAGAAUGCCACAAUGCAUCAUAGGUUAUAAAUGUGAAUGUACAUGCAUAUUACGGAUUGAGUCCUUAUUGUACCCCCUUUCCUGUUCUGUAUUUUACAAGAAAUAAACAGAAUUUAUAGAAAAUUAUAGAAAAAUGAAGGAAAUAUUAGGCAUACAUCAAGAGCUCUGCUGCUGCAUUAAGAUGGAACCUAGCUUUCUCAUCCUUUAAUAAAGAUGAAUCUACCUCUCUCCCUUUCACAAAACUGAUAUUCCCAAGGUGGAGCACAGCAGCAACUACCCGGAAUGUGGCCUCCUGCAAUAUUAUGUGUUGCUUAAAACAGGUUACACAUCCACAUCAUAGAAAGGGUUGAGAAAUUCAUGUCUGAAACCUGCUCCUGCUCAGUAAUACCAACUGUAUUCAUCGCACUUCGUGUUGCAAGAUACUCCUUAGCAUCACUAAUUUCGUCAAGUUUAAUGCACGUGGAUUGAUUGAGAUAGUGAAACGAUGAUGGCUCAGCCAGCUUAUACCUUUUGAUAUCCUGCCAGCAGGGUAUAUUCAUCAGCCAAGAAUCGGAUACACAACCAGUCAAUCAAUUGAGCUAGCAAAGUACCUCUGAUGGUGCUGCACAUAGGAAGUAAAAGCAAUGGUAGUUUCUCUCUGGACUAUUGAUUUGGCAAACACGAGAUCUUUCAAGCAAGUAUGUUCUAAUGGCAGCACCUGAUAUCUUCCCACUCUUGUCAAAUUGGAUUUCAACAAAUUUGCCGAAUCGACUUCAUCAUGCCAUCAAAUAAAGAAAGAAAGAAAGAAAGAAAGAAGUGUGUGAGGAAAUUUUUUUAAUAUCUUCAAAUAUGAAGAUUCAGUUCUAUUCCAUACUUAAAGAUUUUAAUAUGCUAUACACAAUAACUUUCAAACGGUUGUCUUCCAAGACUCAAAGUAGUGUAAAAAGAUCACCUUGAGUUGUUGUUACGAACAGUCUUUGCAUUGCCAAAGGCUUCAAGGACUGGAUUAGACUGCAUGCAAAGCGUAACUAGAUAUCAGAUCAGUUUCAAGUGAAAGAGUGAAACUACAUAUGGCACAUUACUUAAAAGCCUCCACUGCCUUUUGGAAUUGGACACUGUUUCUAACAACAAGAAGUCAUGUAAGAAAAGUAUGAUUCCUAACUUACUUCUAAAACUUGUUGUUCAACUGUCCUCCCUCCUGUUCUAGAUCGCCCACCCAAAAAAGCAAGAUAUCUCAUAAGCAUCUUUGUAGUUUCAGUUUUACCAGCACCACUUUCACCGCUCACCAAAAUGGAGUUGCUCUUUCCCUCAUUCAUCAUCUGCCUGUUUCCUUAUUCAAAAAAAUGUCACAGAAGGCUCCAUCAAUAUUACUGCCACAUUGUACUUCAUUCUAAGAAAUCGUUUACCACUGUUACUGUAGGCAUUCACCUGUAAGAAACAUCAGCGAUUGCAAAUACAUGAGGGUCUAGCUCACCAAAAUUUGCACCUUUGUACUUCUCCAUAGUAUGGGGUUCAGAAAGAUGGGGCAGCCUUUGGAAUGGAUUAAUUGCAAUCAGAAUGUUGCCAGUAUAGGUCUGGAACUCAAAAAAGGAAAGUUAGAAGGAAACAAAAGGCGAAACAAACUUCAUUUUGCUUUGAUCAUUUUCAAGUGAUAAUAAGAUUGAGUGAACAAAUACUCACAUAAAUUAUAUUUUUUGCAUAUCGAAUAGCGAGAUUAUUUAGAACACCAGGUUCAUGCAAGUAUGAUAGCCGUGUCAUGUCAUCAAUGCCAUUAGUUGGCACUUCCGUGUCCUUUGGAUGAAUGUCUGGUAUGCUCACAAUAACCUGGUUUCAUGGAAUAGAAGAAAUGGCACAGGUUGUACAAACAGAUAACAUAUGAAUUUGGAUAAACCUCUCGAGUCUAAAUAAACGGGGGCAAGUUUGCAUGCCCCGAUGCAGCUCAUAGCAAAAUGCGAAUAUCCCCUUCUAAUUAUUCCAUUCUCUAAAGAGGCACUAUAAUUGUAGUUUUGUGAAAUUAACUCUUAAAUUUAGUAAACGAUACGCACAUUUUUUUAUUUUCCUUAAGAUCCAAAUCAUGUAUAGACUGGGUUUUGACAUUGAUCUCCAUGAGUAAAUAACAGAAUUAAAUCACAAGGUCCGCGUCUUCCGUCUACGCUGCAUAGAACACCAUUUCAGAUCAUAAUACAGUGUCACCAUCUGUGAUGCUAUUGAUGCAAUUAUGAAUGAAAAGUUUGAUCAUUUGACAUCAACAAUUACUUAGCUUCCUCGCAAAAAAAAACACAAUUACUUAGCUUUUUUUGAAUAAAAAAAGGAGAGAAGACAGUCAUAGGAGGCCCAAAUCGAAUGUCUUAUUACACACAAAUUGAUUCACCACCAAACCAUGUAAGAUUAACAAGCAACAUAAGACUCACGUACCGUCUUUCCAUUGGUAGCAUGGACAUGGGCAUUUUGACCUUCUAUUCUGGCAACCUCGCCAUCAAUCCAAGCUAAAUCUUUAUCCUCCAGCCAUAUAUGGGAGCCUACAACAAUUUUUAAUGUGGCAGCCUGCAGACAAAACAAGUCAAAACCUCCAGCGUGUCUGGAAAGUCCAUGUUUUUUUUAACAUGUAAAGUCCAUCUUGAUAAACAAAAUGAAAGUAGACAUCUGUAUAAAGUUCCAUAGAAUUGGUACCAAAGGACAGAACACCACAAGGUUUUAGGACCUAUAUUGUAUUGAGUGGCAUAUAGCAUGAUACAUGUAUCAUUGCUGAAGAUGGCUGAACCUAUGGAUGCUAUGUCAAUGACAAGAAAAGGCUGCCGUGCAGAAAAGGGCCAAAUGAUACAGAAUCAUAUUGGGGCAAAGCACAAAGUCAGCCUUUCAAAAAAAGGGCGUAAAGUCAGAACAAAAUCAUGAAGGAUAUACUUUAAGGAAACAGAAUAGGAUAAUUCUGUACAUUACAUCAUAAAAUAGGGUAGGGAUUAGCUAAAACCACAACCAGUCAUGAACAAAAAAAAAAUGUCUGGCAUUCAGUUAAAUACCUACUUGCCCACAAUAAUCUUGACUGAUGAUACCUAACCUGGUUUCAGGGCAGUUACAUGAGACUAUGAACUACUAGUAUACCGUUAAUUUCAUCACCAAACUAAAUUCAGUUUAUACUCAUUUUGGCAUACACUUAAGUUGGUCAAACUGUUACAAUAACUAGAAAUAUGGAUUCAUCUUGUCAAAUUGGACCCACCAGCGAGAGUCACGUGGGCUGGGUUUUAAUUGAAAAUGCAUUGUACAUUUGUAGCAUGUGGCUCUGCUUACUGUUAGUCUGACCACUCACCCAUCGGUCAAACACUAGCCUAGACAUCAAAUGAGGCUAACGAUCAAGUGUACUGGGGAACUCUGAAGUCUCAACCAACUGGGCCACUUGUACACCAAAUCCUCCAAAACCGAACUUGUCGCCCUACCACCAAGGAACCAGAAUCCACUGGGUUCACCUCGCGCUCGCCACACAAGUACGCAAGCGAUACCCACAAUGCCCUUACCUUAACCCGGUCUGACAGCCUACAGUGACUCGGUAAAACUGCAGGAGGGGGCGCGCGCACGACACCGCCAACAACAACGGAGCUUCCAACGAAAACGGGAGAACCAAGCACGAGCAUCCAAACACUUACCAUGAGCCACGCGAUCGAACGCUACGGCCGUUGCAGGUGACGUCGAAUCGGGGUCGGCGGCGGCCGGAGGCUGGG
rnacentral:lncRNA from 1 species